UACGAAGGGGCUAGCGUUGCUCGGAAUCACUGGGCGUAAAGCGGCAUACGUAGGCGGAUUGCUGAAGUUCAGGGGUGAAAUCCUGGAGCCUCAACUCAGAACUGCCUUUGAUACUGGCAACCUUGAGUCCGGGAGAGGUGAGUGGAACUGCGAGUGUAGAGGUGAAAUUCGUAGAAUAUUCGCAAGAACACCAGUGGCGAAGGCGGACUCACUGGCCCCGGUACUGGACGCUGAGGUGGCGAAA
rnacentral:rRNA from 1 species